rnacentral:misc_RNA from 1 species
GAUGAAGAACGUAGCGAAAUGCGAUACUUGGUGUGAAUUGCAGAAUCCCGUGAACCAUCGAGUCUUUGAACGCAAGUUGCGCCCGAAGCCAUCAGGUUGAGGGCACGUCUGCCUGGGCGUCACAUAUCGUUGCCCAAUGCCUAUUGCAGUGCAAUAGGAAUUUCUAGGGCGAAUGAUGGCUUCCCGUGAGCGUUGUUGCCUCGCGGUUGGUUGAAAAUCGAGUCCUUGGAAGGGUGUGCCAUGGUAGAUGGUGGUCGAGUUAGAACGAUACCGAUCAUGUGCAUGCUCCCCAAAAUAUGGCCUCUAUGACCCACACGCGUCUUUUGACGCUCAUGACGAGACCUCAGGUCAGGCGGGGCUACCCGCUGAAUUUAAGCAUAUCAAUAAGCGGAGGA